UUUUUUCAGGUUUGUGUGAAAACAUCUUUUUAUUUAUUUUCUGCUGAUCAUUAUAUAUAGUUUGUCACAAGUCACAACGGCGGAAAGCUAGGCCUUGUUUAGUUCCAAAAAAUUUUGCAAAAUCGACACUGUAGCACUUUCGUUUGUAUUUGACAAAAAAUAUCCAAUCAUGGACUAACUAGGCUCAAAAGAUUCGUCUCGUCAAUUUCGACCAAACUUUGCAAUUAGUUUUUAUUUUCAUCUAUAUUUAAUACUCCAUGCAUCUGUCUAAAGAUUCGAUGUGACGGGGAAUCUGAAAAAUUUUGCAAAAUUUUUUAGGAACUAAACAAGGCCCUAGAAACAGACGAAACAACAGGUACAGUAGCACGUUUGUUGCAAGGCCACGAUGUGCAGGAAAAGAAUAGGUGCAGUGCCGUGCCGUGCAGAGAGCCCACGAGAUGACACGCGCGCGCGCGCGGGGCUGCAUGCGGUGCUGUGCCCUGUUCAUUCACAUCCGUGCGCGCAUGCAUGCAUGCGUCUGCAUCACUGUGCGCGUACGUGUGUGUGUAGCCCAAUAGCCCAUGCACCACCCUCGUGGCCUCGUCGGCUAGCUCAUCAUCCCUCUAGCAUCGAUGGAUGGAUCUAUAGAUCACCAAAAUCUAAAUUUUUUUUCGAGAUUUCUUUUUUCACAUUGAAUCUUAGACCAUAUAUAUAUAGAGCACUAAAUAUUAGAUAAAAAUAAAAAUUAAUUAUACAGUUUAUUUAUAAUUUAUAAGACAAUUUUUUUUGAGCCUACUUAAUUUAUAUUAGAUAAUAAUUAUAAAAUACAAACGAAAGUACUACAACAUUAAAAUCCAAAAAAAACUUUUCGAAACUAAGCAUGACCCUAAUCCACCCGUCAAUAUAAACCGGGUUUUAUUGACAACACUUUAUAAUCAAGAAAACCCGGUUAUGUGAACUUGCGGGCGGUCGAAGGUGUACUUAAUUAGUAGCAAUUCUUUUCAUUAGCUGCUAUACAUAUACGGCCUCGGAGUGCAUAUGAACCGAGGGCACAUCAUAUCAUAUCAUUGGAUAAAACAUAUUGCAUGGCACGGCCGCCGGGUGCGCGAUGAGUGGUGAGUGAAUGAUAGAUAGAUGGGAGAUCAAUCGCGUUGUCGUCUUGCCAGUGGUCGAAAUGACAAGCAGAGUACAGGUGCCCUGCGUCGUCCCGGAGCAGCACCCGCUAAAGAACGUCCCCCCGUACCACUUUAGCAGUCGUCUUGCGCAUUGACUACCCGAGCGGUGACCGAGGACGACGAGGAGGCGAGGAGGAGUACACAGCGGCUCCUGGCUCCGCGCCUCCGCGGUAGGAGUAUGGUCUUGUUUAGUUCAAAAAAAAUUUACAAAAUUUUUCGAAUUCUCCGUCACAUCGAAUCAUUAGACUCAUACAUAGAUUAUUAAAUAUAAACGAAAAUAAAAACUAAUUGUACAAUUUAAUCGAAAUUGACGAGACAAAUCUUUUGAGCAUAGUUAGUCUAUGAUUAGAUAAUAUUUGUCAAAUACAAACAAAAGUGGUACAGUGUUGAUUUUCCAUAAAAUUUUGGAACUAAACAAGUAUGUUUAGUUCUCGAAAAAUUUUGGAUUUUACUACCGUAACACUUUUGGCUUUAUUUGAUAAUUAUUAUUUAAUUAUAGACUAUUGGGCUUAAAAAAUUCGUCUCGCAAAUUGAAGAUAAACUAUGUAACUAGCUAUUUUUUAUAUAUAUUUAAUACUUCGUAUGUGUGAAGUAAGAUUCGAUGUGAUGGUGAAUUUUGAAAAUUUUUGAAGACCGAUCUGCUGUCCAUCGGAGGAUGGUCGUGCAUGCAUGGCGCGCUGCACCCAGCACGGUGGCUGACUUAAAUUGGCGUUGCGCCGACCGACGCGACGACACGAAAUGAAUGCGGCCCUCGUGCGGGUGCGCGCGCACGGGUGGCCACCGCGGGUGGUCAAAGGCCCCUCCUCUCCUCGCUCGAUCUCUGCGGCCAGCGCAUGGGGGGUGUCGCGUCGCGUCGCGUCGCGUCCCGACGGCCACGCACGUACGGGCGCGGGCCGCGGGCCUCUGUUCUGCCUGUCUCUGAUCAUCAGGGAGACCCUGCACUGCAGCGUCUGCCGCCUGGCACUGGCACGCACGUCCCCGUGCCCGUGUCAUCUCGAGACGCGCGCGCAGGCAGGGGCAGGGGCAGGGGCAGGGGCAGGGCCCGCCCGGAGGACGGGAGGAGCCGACUGCCGAGGACAAGGAGAGGUGGCUGCUGCCCCUUGCUGGUACGACUGGUAGGAGAUCGAGACCGUGCGAGGCAGGGGGGCCGAGGGCCCCUGUCUCCAAACCUGGUUCACGAGCAGGAGCGCUGACCUAGAUUGAGGCCUUGUUUUUUUCGAUUUUUUUUGUUUUAGUAAUUUCGUUUUUAUUUUACAAUUAUUAUCCAGGAUUAACUAGACUUAACAGAUUUAUCUUAUAAUUUACAGAUAAACUGUACAUUUAGUUUUUAUUUUUUCUAUAUUUAGUGCUUCAUGCAUGUGUCGCAAGAUUCGAUGUGACAAAGAAUCUUGAAAAGUUUUUAGUUUUUAGGAUGAGUUCUCUAAAUUCCAUAAAAAUUUAGUUCGCGAAAAUUUAUGACAUUGGCUUGGCUAAUUUACUAUUUUCGUUUGUAUUUGAUAAUUAUUAUCUAAUAAUAGACAUGGCUCAAACUAUGUCCCAACCUCAAUAUGUCAUAUGAAAACUCUGUAUGAAAACCACUGCUUCAACCCACCGUUUCUAUCCAUGGGACCAAAAUUAAGUCGAUCCCUUUUGAUUCUUCGCUCCCUUCGGUCUUCAAACUAUUUGCGCAGACCUUACUUGCAUGAGGACAACUAUAAGUGGUGAAUAAUUUUUUCGAACUAUUUUAAACUUGGGUCUUGUUUAGUUCCGAAAAGAUUUCGGAUUUAGGUACUGUAGUAUUUGGUUUUUAUUUGACAAAUAUUAUUCAAUAAUAGAUUAAUUAGGCUUAAAAUAUUCAUCUCAUGAUUUACAGGUAAAAUGUGCAAUUAGUUUUGUUUUCGUCUAUAUAUCUAUUACUUCAUGCAUGUGCCCCAAAAUUCGAUGUGACGGAGAAUCUUGAAAAGUUUUUAGUUUUGGGGGGUCAACUAAACAAGGCCUUGGAGUUUUUAAAGCAUCCCUUGAUGUGCUCUACAAAAUCUAUAGAUCUAUGGAUUUCUUGGAUUUGCUCCAUGAUGAAUAUGCAUGGAUUUAGAAGUGUCCGGCUAGGAAAAAUAAAUAUGGAGCUGUCAUUUUUGAAUUUGGAGGUAUUGAAGAUGUUCCAAACUAGCCCUUAGACGCUACUAAAGAUCUCCUAACAUGUUCAUGAUUAAUAGCGGUUUGAAGGAACUUAGCUUAUCUAUGACCCAUGCUACAGUACUUAAGCCAAAAAUUAUUCUUCCAUCGACUACAAUUCAUUCUAGAAACAUAGAGAAAACACAACUUAGAACUAAUUUAGCGUAGCUCUCCUCAUAGCUUCAUCAGAAUAAUCUAUACUUCCUUACAAAACACUUAAAAUGUAAUUGUAUUUUGGUGUGCCGCUGAUUAGAAUUACUUCUGUAUUUACGCUACAUAUUAACAGCUGAAAAAAAUCCGCUUUCCACCGCUUCACUACUUCCUAUUUAGGCCUUGUUUAGGCUUUGUUUAGUUCCGAAAAGUGAAAAGUUUUCGGUACUGUAGCACUUUCGUUUGUUUGUGACAAAUAUUAUCCAAUCAUGGACUAACUAGGAUCAAAAGAUUCGUCUCGUGAUUUCCAGCUAAACUGUGUAAUUAGUUUUUGUUUUCGUCUAUAUUUAAUGUUUCAUGCAUGUGACAUAAGAUUCGAUGUGACGGGGAAUCUUGAAAACUUUUUAGUUUUCAGAUGCGAAAUCUUUUUGGAUUUUGCUACUGUAGCACUUUCGUUUGUUUAUGGUAAAUAUUAUCUAAUUAUGAACUAACUUGUAUUAAAAGAUUCGUCUCGUGAUUUACAGGUAAACUGUGCAAUUAGUUUUUGAUUUCGUCUAAAUUUAAUGCUUCAUGCAUGUGCCGCAAGAUUCGAUGUGAUGGGAAAUCUUGAAAAUUUUUUAGUUUUUAGGUAACUAAACAAGGCCUUAAUCGGCACUAUAAUCACUUCAGAAAUUGAUUCUCAUCUAGUACUUCUCACCUUGCUCCUCUACAAGAAUCACUCUAUUAUUAGGCCGUGUUUAGUUCACGAAUGAAAAAGUUUCGUGGCACUGUAGCACUUUCAUUUGUUUGUGGUAAUUAUUGUCCAACCAUUGGCUAAUUAGGCUCGAAAGAUUUGUCUCGUAAAUUUCGAUCAAACUGUGCAAUUAGUAGUUUUUAUUUUCGUUUAUAUUUACUACUCCAUUCAUGCGUCUAAAGAUUUGAUAUGAUAGGAAAUUUUGAAAGAUUUUGUGUUUUUAGAUGGAAGUAAACAAGGCGUUACUCUGUCGGAGAAUCAAGAAGCAAACCUCAAAUGCUUUGAGACGAGAGAGGGCAGAGAAACCCGCGACAAAGUACGAGGGCAUUGAGUAUGAGGACAUUUUGAAUGCACAAAACAUCGUGAUUUCUAUAUAUAUUAAUUGUAGUAUCAUUUAAGUAUUUUGGUGAUGUAGUAAGAAAGUUAUUGAAAAGAGAGAGUAAAAAACAUAGAAACUGGGUUUUUGUUAAAAACCAUAUCUAUACAAAAUAUAAGACAUGAAAUAGUAUGAUUGGUUGAGAAUGUAGAGAAAAUAGAUGUGAUUAGAUAAAAACAUAUUUUAUUAAAAUUAUUAUUGAAACCAUAAUUUUUAUAUAUAAUAUCUAUAAAAAAUAAUAGAUCUAAAAACUAUAUAUAGUUUUUAGCAUUAGAAGGGUACCUUUACUCCCUUAUACAUCCACACCGUGCCCGUGCCCGUGUGUCCUAUCUCCACGAGGACGUGGGCUCGCACGUCUGGCGCUGGCGCGGUGCCCGCUCGCAGACGCCUGUCUCUGGCUGUGAUUGGCUCGGCGUCGCUACGUGCCGUGCGGUACGUGCCUCGUGAAUCACACAUCCACACACCCUGCUGCAGCUGCAAAAGGCCGGUGGUUUCAGAGUCGCCAGGUUUUCGUGGCCCGCUUGCCUGCACUACACUACUCCUACACAUGCAUUGAUGUGCACAUCUGAUCGUAGGUUCAGAGAAGCCGCGCUGUGCAUCAUCAUCUGAAAUACUGCUAUUUCUCUAUUUCGCGUACCAUCAUCAGCAGUGGCCGUACUGCCGAUCGCGCUCGCUCCAUUAGACAUUCGCCGCCCAUUAGACAUUGACGUUCACGGACGACGGAAGCCGCCGCGCCGAUCGCCAGGGAAAAAGGACACCAAGAGCAUGAGCUAGGCGGCAGAAGCUGCCGGGAAACAGAGACGUGGAUCCAUCGUACGAUGGAUCGCUGAGCCUCGGCGGACAAUGCAAGGAACACAGCACGUACGUCCUCCGUGCAUGUCCAACGCAAGCAGCAUCCUACUAGCUAAUAAUCAGCAGAUUGUCGUCACUAGUGCUGCUAGAGAUUAACAAAUACUACUAGCUAGCAAUAUAAUGGCAGAUCAGCAGAUGAUGAGAUUUGAGAUCGAUGAAACAAGCAGGUGCAGGGAGCACACGGGACAAGCACACAGGCGAGAUUAGGCAGCGCCAGUGAUCCAAAUCUGGCCCUGGGGGGGACGAUGGGGGACUCUGCGUGCAAAUCCAUAUGAAGAUACGGGCAGGCGCAAGAGGACAAGCUGCGCACGAGGGCCGGAUCGGCUUAUGCGGCAACAGUUCGUCAAAGCUGCCCUGGCCUAAGCAAAGCAGCCCCCACAUGCAGUCAGUCAUCGGUCCGGUAUAGGAGUAGUAUGUUGUUCUCAGCUCCGAUCUGCUAGCAGCCACGCUACUCGUUCCAUCGUGUGACUAGCGGGUGAACACUGAAAAUUACAUCUAGUUUUUGAUAAUUUAAUGUAACAUCUAUUCGUAUGUUUUUAAUCAUUGGACAAACAUAGUAAACACACACAUUUUCGUGAAAAGAACAUCAUUUUUUUAAUAAUUGGACAAACUUAGGCCCUGUUUAGAUUGGAGAUGGAAAAAUUUUGGGUGUCACAUCAAAUAUUUCGGAAGGAUGUCGGGAUAAAAAUUUUUGGGAUAAAUUAUUUUAUUUUUUUUAUCUACAUUUAAUGUUCUGUACAUGUGUCUAAAGAUUCGAUGUGAUGGAUAAAAAUUUUUAGGCGAGGAAUUAAAUAGGGCCUUAGACCAACUAGUUGAGAAUAAACAAGAGAGAGAAAGUCAAGCCGGACAGUAUACACAGGGAUUAGCAGGGGGUGUCAGAGAGAGUGAUGCACCGGCCGGGGUCUGUGCGAGCUGAGCAACUGAGUCCGUCGCUAGCUACUCAACUUUUUAUGUUCUCUAUCCAGCCAUGUAGACAAGAUCGCUUCAGCUGGAUGUAGUCGGCAUAAAUAUUUCAUUGUCCAUGGACACACAUGCAUCAUCCGCUGGAUGUAGUCCAUUUACACAUUGUUUAAAUUUGAACACUACUACAUAAGAACUAGUUGUGUUUGUUUAAUCGGACGCUUAUCCUCUUAUAGUGUCCCCCUCCAUCUCUCUUUCCUUCCCCUCCUCUCCAUUUGCCAAGAUCCUUCCUGCCUUCUGCUACUAUAUAGCUCCCCCCUCACCUUCCAUUCUAGAGAGAGGGGAAGGUGCCAGCGGCCUGUUUGUGUGAGCAUUGUUGAGCAAAGCUAAGCUAAGAGAAGCAAGCAAAGCAUUCAUACUUACAUAUAUAUACAUAUAUGUAUAUAUAUACUGUAGAUAGAUAGAUCGAUAUAUAGAGAGACAGGCGAGGAGAGAUUCUUGCAGCAGGCUCGAUCCGAUGAUCCAUGCAUGCGCUUGUGAGAUGAGAUGAGAUAUCGAUGAAACUAGAACUAGGGAGGAGGAGUGGUGGUGGGCGAGGAUGAUGGCUGGGGAGCUCGUGCUGGCCGCUGUGGCGACCCUGCUCGCGUCGUCGCUCCUGGCUCUGGUGCUCAGCCACUUCCUGCCUUUGCUUCUGAAUCCCAAGGCCCCCAAGGGAAGCUUCGGGUGGCCGCUCCUCGGCGAGACGCUGCGGUUCCUCACGCCGCACGCGUCCAACACGCUGGGCGGCUUCCUGGAGGAUCACUGCUCCAGGUAAUAAUAACGUACUACUGCUGUAAUUGUAAAUAGCUAGCUACUAGUCGUCCAGUGUUCCAGUGUCGUCGUUUAAUUACCAUCCACCAUGCACACAGCAGGCACAGAACUGUCUGGGUCUGGCCGGCCAUAUGAGAAUGAGAUCUUGUUAAUAAUCACCUCACCGUGCAAUUAAGUAUUGCGCCAUUAUUUCAUGUGACAGCAAAAGGUGAUGCUGUGCUGCCGCUGUCAUGUCUAAGCAGCCUUUUUCAUCUAUCAUGCAUGCAUCUCUCAUGUUUUUGUUUUGGUUGCCUUGUUGGUUCCGAGCCCGUGACAGUCUGACUGACUCACUCACGGUGAAUGAAGUGAAAAAGAUAAGAGGUCCGGGAGGGGUAGUAGUAGUAAAGGUUAAUAAACGUGGAUUUACAAGCAUGCAUGGUCCUACUGUAGUAUAGCUAAUGACAGCAUUGUUGUUGCCGGCCGUUGAUGACGACGGACGGUAUGUGAUGCAUGCGAUCGAUGCAGGUAUGGGCAGGUGUUCAAGUCCCACCUGUUCUGCACCCCCACGGUGGUGUCCUGCGACCAGGACCUCAACCACUUCAUCCUGCAGAACGAGGAGCGGCUGUUCCAGUGCAGCUACCCCAGGCCGAUCCAUGGCAUCCUGGGCAAGUCCUCCAUGCUCGUGGUCCUGGGCGAGGACCACAAGCGCCUCAGGAACCUCGCCCUCGCCCUCGUCACCUCCACCAAGCUCAAGCCCAGCUACCUCGGCGACAUCGAGAAGAUCGCGCUGCACGUCGUCGGCGCAUGGCGACGACACGACGGCGGCGGCGGCGGCGGCGGCGGCGGCGGCGUCAGAGUCAUCGCCUUCUGCGAGGAGGCAAGAAAGGUUAGCUAGCAGCUAUUCACCGAUCGAAAGAAUCGCCAUGUUGCCUCUGCAUGAAUCGAUCGGUCUUUUGCCAUGGUGACUUUGUUUGACUUACAACUUACAAGGGUUGUUUCUUCCUUGCCUUUCCUUCCUCUGGGUCGGCCGGCCGUGUCCUCUGCUCUGUCCUUGAGAAGCACAGUUCGCAUUCAGUGUGAUAGUGAAGCAGGUGCUGGGGCUGUCACCAGAGGAGCCGGUCACUGCAAGGAUACUGGAGGACUUCCUGGCCUUCAUGAAGGGCCUCAUCUCCUUCCCUCUCUACAUCCCAGGGACCCCAUAUGCCAAGGCUGUCCAGGUAAUCAUCCACCAUGUCUUUAGUAGCACAUGCCAUGCUUGCAUUAAUAAAGAACCAUCGAUCUCUUCAUUAGUAUAUAUGUGCUUAUUACAUCAGUGAGGAAUACAGUAUAUAGCUGUGGUUUAUUUUGUUGCAUUAAUUAUCUGCUGCUCCUAAUAAUAUGAAUCCUAAUGGCAGGCGAGGGAGAGGAUAUCCAACACUGUGAAGGGCAUCAUCGAGGAGCGGAGGAGUGCUGGGUCAUGCAACAAGGGUGACUUCCUUGACGUGCUGCUGUCAAGCAACGAGCUCUCUGACGAGGAGAAAGUGAGCUUCGUGCUGGACUCCCUGCUGGGAGGAUAUGAGACCACCUCGCUCCUCAUCUCCAUGGUCGUUUACUUCCUUGGGCAGUCUGCUCAAGAUCUGGACCUGGUUAAGGUAAUUUAUGCCUGCUUUAUUUUAAACUUCUGUGAAGGCACUCUGCUAAUUUAUUUUUAUGCUGGUGGCCAUCAAUAAAUUAAACUAUCCAUGAACAUGCAGAGGGAGCACGACAGCAUAAGAUCCAACAAAGGGAAGGAGGAGUGCUUGACUUCAGAAGACUACAAGAAGAUGGAAUAUACCCAACAAGUGAGAUAGAUGAUCAUUCAUUCAAUAUGUACAUGAUAGUAUUAGACACAUGGCAGUAAUUUGUAAUCCCUCCACUCCAAGGAUUUUGAAUUUCUGUUAGCAGCAACAGCAACCCACACAAAUACUUGAAUCUCCAAAAACAUUAGAUUUUUUUUAUUUUUUUUGCUGUAAGUAAAUCAAUAUAUACAUAUGUAUGUGGAAAUGCUGUUGUCAUGCUGAUGACGUGGUGGUUGCAUGCUCUUGUUGCAGGUUAUCAACGAGGCGCUGAGAUGUGGCAACAUUGUCAAGUUUGUCCACCGGAAGGCGCUCAAAGAUGUCAAAUACAAAGGUGAGAUGAAUGAAGCCCCUCCUGCAUUUCGCGGCAGAUUCCAUUUGUGCUCAUCACAUGAUAAUGGAUCAGGCAGAGGGGAUGGUCGCACCUUUAAGCCUGAUUUUUAAGCAUUGUUAUGCCCAGAAUACCUCCUAGCUUUUGCUAAACGAAGAUGCUCAAAAGCAAGUGGCUCUCCCUUUUGCUCUGUUGCAGAGUAUCUGAUUCCAUCUGGCUGGAAGGUCCUACCGGUCUUCAGCGCUGUUCAUCUGAACCCCUCACUUCAUGGAAACGCACAACAGUUUCAGCCCUGUAGAUGGGAGGUACGUACCUUGUUUUCUUUCUCACUGAGACUCCUUCCUAAUCACUGUUCUGGCAAUGAUCCAAUGAUUCAUGUUCCAUAAAUAGGCAAGCUUAGCCUACAUAUUCAAAACUGAAAUAUACAAAUAAAAGGCUGAGGACCUAUCAAACAAGCUUAUCAGGGGCUUUUAGGGAAUCUUCUUUAAAGUGUGUACUCUAACUAAUUGCUACCUUUAAUUAGUGUGUGUCCAUCUGUGACAUAAUUACUCACAACUGUUCUGGUAUCUUCAGAUGCCAAGCAUGCUGCUGCCUGAUGUAGUGCUUGUUGUUAAUGGUCCUAACCAUGAUUCCGUUCGUUGAAAGCCAGCCCUCUGGGCUUUGUUCCUUUUUUUUUGUUUAAUGAUGUUCAUGGUUUCAUUCAUAUGUGUGACUCAUCUGAUUGAUAUACCAGGGGACAAGCCAAGGGACAAGCAAGAGGUUUACACCGUUCGGUGGUGGCCCCCGGCUCUGCCCAGGAUCAGAGCUUGCUAAAGUAGAGGCUGCUUUCUUCCUCCAUCACCUUGUCCUCAAUUAUAGGUAAAAACAAUGGAUGGCCUUAGUCAAAGCAUAGUAUGCAUCAACAUCGUGCAAAUUUCUAGCCAACAUAAGGAAAUAAUGUCAGGACCGUUUUAAUCCAAAUAGAACAAUAUCUGUCAGGCCAUGAACGUAAAAGCAAAAUAAUGCAGUAAUCAUUGAACAUUUGAACCACAUGCUAGGAAGUAAUGGCAAGAAGGUUAUGACAACACUGUUAAAUACAAAAAUAUGAUGAGGCAUAAAUGGACAAGGACCCAGAAUAAUGAGGUCAUUUGUGUCAGACCAAUAGUAAGAAAAAAAUAUAGCAAGUGAUGGCCACAAGGUUAAGAUAAGAACUGGUCUCUCUAAUUUAUGUUUUUAUCGACAGGGACCACAAGUCACAGAAUAAAUGUUUAAGUAAUUUUGGAUCCAGAACUGUAGAACAUAUCAGACGACAACAAACAGAACAAACAUUGGCAGCAUUAGGUUUUCGACAAGUAGGUUUUGCAAGUUGAGGGGUAUCAUACGAGAUAUAGAAUUCUGCAAUGUGAUCAAACUGUCAAAUGUUGUCCAUAUAACCAUCUGAAUGUGACAAAUGACUAGCUAUUGUCAUUUUUAUUUCAGAGUAGUAAAAUCACUUAACAGUUUUCGAAAUGCCAUUAGAUGAUCAUCGCUUUUCGGUUCUUGAAAACCUUGCAGAUGGAGAAUUGAUGGCGAUGACAUUCCGAUGGCAUACCCAUAUGUGGAGUUUCAGAGAGGUCUGCCAAUAGAAAUCGAGCCAACUUCACCUGAAUCUGGACUGUCCUGAAGCUUGAGCCGCAGCGCGUUCAUCAGUUAGUAGUACGCCAGAGAGAAAGGGGAAGAAGGUGCAUGGAGCAUAUACAUGAAGGAUCAGUGACAAAUCCCAUAAAUUAAGGAAACACUGAGCACGGGCUAGUAGCUAGCAUGAGGCAGCUGAGACUGUAAUUUGAUGUACAUGGUGUAGAUAUAUUUUGUCCAUGGCAAUUGCUUGAGGUGGUUGAUUCACUUCACCCUGUAAAACAUUCUCCAGUGGUUCAAGUACUAUCCUAUAAAAAAGAAGGGCCCCUGGGUUUCGUAAGGUUCUCGUCAUCUAACUUUGUAGGACUCAGCUAGAUAUCGUUACUAACAACUGGCUGUAGUUCCGUUCUGGAGUCAGGACGCGGCAUACAGCUGCAAGAUGAAAAUGCCAAAAAGGGGGGCAAAGUUUGUUUGACAUUUGAUCAGCCACAAGUUCUGUUCUAGAGUCAGGAAGCGGUACACAUCAAGAGGAAAAUUUCAAAAAAGUUCUGAUCUAGAGCCAGGAUGCAGGAUACAGCUGCAGGAUUGAAAAUGUAAAAAGAAGGAAAAGAAAAAUAGCAGGAUACAGCAGCAAGUUGAAAAUGUAAAAAAAGAAAAAAAUACAAAAAAAAUUGGCCCAUGCAGGUCUCGAACCUGCGACCUUCGCGUUAUUAGCACGACGCUCUAACCAACUGAGCUAAUAGGCCAACUUGUGAGUUAUACACUUAUACAGUUACUUAUUGGACACUUGUACAGUUAUUUAUUGUACUACAUGUCAUAUGUGGCGAUCAACUGCUAACGAAAACAAUGUUGUUUCAUUCAAAGUAAAAUCAUGAUUUCAUCCCAAAGCAUCGUUUAUUCAUGAGAAUGAUAAUAUCAACAUAUGUACAAGCACAACGAUUGCUACGGACAUAUUCUCAAAAGUGUUCCACAAGCACAAACUGGAGAGCAUAAAAGCUACCACCUUAUUGAACAGAAAAUAACUAGGGAGGCAGGCAACUGGAUCAGAAGAAAGUCUAAUUCAAUGGUUCCAGGGAGGAACAGCCGCUGGACUUUAGGUACUAUGCUUGGGAUUUGAGGAAAUCUGGCUGAUUUGUAACUGAUCUAACCCAUGCCCAUUUGUGAUCAUUCACAUCGACAGGGUUCUUUGCCACAGCGACAUCUUCCAGUGGUAUGUAACUGUAGGUCCCAUUUACUGGACCAGGUACAAAGCCAGUAAACCCAGCCAUGACCCCAUGGAUGGCAGAAUGUGCCAGCAAAGUGCAAUACAAAUUGUCGGUGGCAUUUGCAGGAACCGCUCGAAUCAUGUAUGUAGGGUCAAUGUACUUCACAGUGAACAGCUCAUCAGGAUGUUCUCUCUUCCACCAUCUGCCCAGCUCGGAUUUCAGCCAGGGUCCCACAUCAAGAAACACAAUGUUGCCAGACUCAUCCUGCUCUCGCUUCUGAUCAUCAGUCCGGGGAAUCAGUUCCUGACCAGCUCCUUCAGCAACCACGAUGACAGCAUGCCCCUUCUUCUUAAUCCGUUCAUACAGAAACUCAAACAGGCCACCCUUACCUUCCAGGUGGAAAUCAACCUCUGGGAUCAAGCAGCAGUCAACAUCGCGACUGCUCAGAGUGGCAUGAAGGGCGAUAUGGCCAGUACUCCUCCCCAUAAGUUUGACAAGGCCUACACCAUUGACAGCGCUAACAGCCUCCACAUGAGCAGCGUCAAUUGCCUGCUGAGCAAUCUCCACCGCAGUUUGGAAACCGAAUGAUCUGUCUAUGAUGCCAAUGUCAUUGUCCACAGUUUUUGGGAUCCCAGUGAUGGAUAUGUUCAAACCGCGGCGUUUGAACUCUUGAAAGAUUGCCACAGCUCCUCUCAUGGUUCCAUCCCCACCGAUCGCAUAUAUCUUCAAUAAAAAAGAAACAUUUGGAAGUGAUCAGUUUAGUUUAUAUAUACUUGAUAAUGAAGCACAGGCAUUAGCAAAAGCACUCAAAACACAUGUAAGAACUAUAGGGAAACAAUUGACCGCUAUGAGUAAGGCCUUGUUUAGUUGUGAAAACUUUUUGGAUUUCGCUACUGUAGUAUUUUCGUUUGUAUUUGACAAAUAUUGUUCAAUUAUGUACUAAGUAGGCUCAAAAGAUUCGUUCGUUUGUAUUUGACAAAUAUUGUUUCAAUUAGGUACUAAGUAGGCUCAAAAGAUUCGUCUCACGAUUUACAGGUAAACUGUACAAUUAGUUAUUUUUUUAUCUACAUUUAAUGCUCCAUGCAUGUGCCACAAGAUUCGUAGCGAACAGGAAUCUUAAAAACUUUUUGGAUUUUGGUGGGAACUAAACAAGGCCUAAACAGCUCAAAAACUCAUAGCCUACUUAGCCUUUCUGGACCCUGAAACCUCGAACUAAAUAGUGUAGCACUACUUCUCUUCUGUUGUACCCAUGAACUGCCCAGAUUCACUAUUGGUAUUUAAGUGUGUAAACUGUAAAUGGCGCAAAAUCCCAAUUUUACAUUACGGUGCCUGUGCUCUUAGUGUUGCUCUCACCUGCGUAUACCCGCGCGCGACGAUGCCGUCGACGAUCUUGCCGAGAUCGAAGCCACCCCUCGUGGUCUUGAGCACGGUGCCGCCCUUCUUGUGCCAGUCGUCGACGGCGGCGGGGUCGAGCCUGACGUGAUCCUCGUCGGUGCCAUAGAACCCUCGGUAUCCCGCGGCGACGCCGAAGACGUGGCGGACGCCGUAGAGCUCGUGGAGCCCCACGACGAGCUCCCUGAGCACGGUGUUGAGCCCGGGGCAGAGCCCCCCGCAGGUGACGAGCGCGGCGCGCGCCGCGGCCGGGUCGACGGCGAUCUCCCCGCGGGGCCCCGCGCGGCGGUAGGCGACGAGCGGGGACGGCGCCGCGGAGGCCAGGUCGAAGAAGGCGUGGCGGAGGGUAACGUCCCCCGGCGAGAUGUAGAAGGUGGCCGGCGGGUGGAAGUAGGGGUGGCGCGAGAUGGGGUUCUGGACCGCCGGGGUCGGGGACGGGGAUGCGGCGGAGGCUAGCGCGGAGGGGAGGCGCGGCACGUCGCGGAGGGUGAGCGGCGGGAGCGUCACGGUGGUGUUGGUCGGCGCGGUGGCGUCGUUUUCGGCGGCGGCGGGGGUGCCGCCGGAGCUGCGGGCGGCGGUGGGGUCCAUGUGUCGGUGAGCGAGGUGGGUGCGCGGCGGGAUGGGAGCGAGAGAUUGUCAAGAGGGGUGGGGGCGGGGUUUUACUGGCGCGACGUGUGGCGGUUUCAGCGGGGAGGUUUUUGAGCUUCCAGAAACUAGGGAGGCGCGGGCCACCGGCCACCUCAACAGCUCGUGGCUUUUUUUAAAGAGAAAAAAAUGGCCACGUAAACAGUGUUAGGCACCGCACGGCGUAGCCUCGAGUCGACACGUCGUGUAAAGUAAGACAUUGUUUAGUUUCCAAAAAUUUUCAAGAUUCCCCGUCACAUCGAAUCUUGAGGCACAUGUAUGAAGCAUUAAAUAUAGACGAAAACAAAAACUAAUUACACAGUUUACCUGUAAAUUGCGAGACGAAUCUUUUAAUCCUAGUUAGUCUAUGAUUGGAUAAUAUUUGCCACAAACAAACGAAAGUGCUACAGUAGCAAAAUCCAAAAUUUUUCUUAAACUAAACAAGGCCUAAAUAAAUCUCGGUUUAUCCAGGGUGAUGAAGGAUUUGAGGUGGUUGCUUUGCAUUUCGCAACUCGUGGAGCUGAUGCACGGUCGGCACACCUUCCCCGGGCCGGCGCAGUUGGCAAGGAGGCCACCGCAUCACGGAUUCAUUCAUGGCGGCCACGGUGCUCGUUUCAUUUGCCAUAAGGACGGCGUGCUCCAAAUAGAUAUUCGUAGUUCUUUUUUAGUCUAAUUUAAUACUAAUUAGAUAAUUUAUUUUUUUAUUUUUUCAUAUAAUUUAUUAAAUUAAACUAAUAAAAACCAUGAGUAUCUAUUUAGAGCACUAACAUCAUCUUUAAAUUCGCCAUCACCAGCGGUGCAAUCAAGUACUCCGUCGUUGCUAAGACCAGUCUCAAUGCAUGUUUCAUGAUAGUGUCAUACACAUUAAAUAGGAUGUCACAUAAGCAAAAUUGCUGACUUGGUAAGGUUAUUUAAUGAAGGAGUUUCAUCAGAUGUGAGAGGAGUUUCAUCCCCAUAAAACUCUUGUGGCUCGGUUAGCUAGUUUAUAGUCUGGGUAACUAUGUUAUGAAACUAUGCAUUGAGACUGACCUAAGACCCGCAUGGUCACAGAGGGAUUCAGGGAUGCGGUGGCCUCGUGGGAUUGCAAGAGAACCUAAUAAAAAUGGUGAUAACUCAUACAUAUGUUGCUAAAAAAAUUACAGUAACAUAUACACAGAGGAUUAAUGGUGUAAGAGAUGAUAUUAAUCAUCUUUUUUCUCCGUAAAUCAGUCUACUUAUUAGUGACCACUCCAUGAACAACUAUGGUACUCCCAUGAGAACACGCUAUUAAUCUCGUCAAAAUUGGGCGCAAACUGCUAGAUGCCUUAUAAUAUCAAAUAUCAUAUUCGUUUACAUUAAUUAGAAGUAUUUAGGUAAUUAUCACAUUUUAUAUAAUGUAAAAUAACAAAAAACUUUCUCUAAUAAUUAAUCAUAAAAAUUUCAGUCCGCCAAAAAUUUGUCCGCCUCCAGUCCGACACUUUAGACUUUUUCUCGCUCUUAGUCCUCAUUGCUUGCUUGCUUCUUCCCUGGUUCCUCGCUCUGGGCAAUGAGUUGAUGUCCGUGGAUGUCCCUAACUUGCCCUGGUCACGUUCCACUGAAUUUUAAGACAACGUUCCAUCAUGUUUCCGUUCCGCGAAUCGGAACGAUGUUCCCGGAAUGUGGAACGUGGCCACAUCCCCGUUGAAGGGUCGAGAUGGCGGACUAGAGAGGGGGUGAAUAGUCCUUUCUAAAACUUAUUACGCCGGCUAACCGAAACAAAUGCGGAAUUAAAACUAUCUGUCUAGCCAAGACUACACCCCUCUAUCUAAGUUCUCUAGCACCUUGAAAAAAUCCUAAACAAGCAAGCAAGGUGGUACCUUAGCAAGAGCUCACCUAACCAAUUCUAAGAGUAAGGUCACACAAACCUAUGCCACUAGUAUUUUGCAAACUGGGGGAGCUCCUACACAAACUAGUGAGGCAAAACGCACAAAGCCUAAGCUCACUAGCAUGCUCAAUAACAAGGCAACUAAUGCCAAAUUAGAGAGCGCAACUUACUUAGCUACACAAACUAAGCAAUGUGGCUAAUAAGGUUACACAAACCAAAUUAGUCACGCAAGGAAACUACUUCUAGCUACACAAGCAAGAAGGUAACUAGCAAGCUACACAAGCUAACUAAUUACAAGAGCAACUACACAAGCACAAGUAUAUGAAAAUAAGAACAAGCUUGUGUUAGGAACUUUCCAAACCAACAGGAAGAAUAAUGUUGACAUGAUGAUUUUCUCCCGGUUCACAUGGUUGCCACCAAGCUACGUCCCCGUUGAGACAAGCUCCAAGGUUGCCACUGGUCCUCUUGCUAGUGGUGACCCGCAAGUCACACUCUCCCACGUGGAGUGCUUACCACAAGCUCUAGCACUUGACCCGGCCAGACCACUUGUCGCUCUUCACGUCUCGCUCAACUAGAGUUGCUCUUCGCGAUUCACGCGGGGUGAGCACCGUACCCCUCACAAUCUCUUCUCCGGAGCACCGCACAAUCUCCUUGCGUGCUUCGACGGAGUCACAAGCCACCAAGCCGUCUAGGAGGUGGCAACCUCCAAGAGUAACAAGCACCACCGGCUUGCAACACGAACACCUAGUGUCACUCGAUGCAAUCUCUCAAUGCAAAGCACUAGAAUCGCUCACUCGCUAUUGAUUCACACUCUUGCAAGUGUAGGAUCUCUGGAAGUACAGGAAGUGGCCUAGAGGGGGGUGAAUAGGCCUGUUCAAACUUUUUCAGCAAAGUUGAUCAGUCACACAGGCAAGGGCGGCAGUGAGGCCCUCCCAGGGCGGCACUGCCGGCCUCAACAGAAAAACAAACAGAAGCUUCACUGAAUUGAUUCAAAGUUUACCCAGGGAAAUUUAGAUCGACUAAAUUUCCAAGCUUCCUGCAAGAUGUUAGAGCACGAGUAUGUAGCUAGAAUGUGCUGGAGCCUCCCCACCAAGUAGAUCGGCCUCAAAUCCUAAUACAAACUCAUACACAAGUGAAAGCACACAAGACACAAGAUUUUUACCGUGGUUCAGCUGUUGCCACAACAAGGCUUGGCCUACUCCAUGUUGUUGAGGCGCCCACACUAGGACCGGCUUAGCCACACAGGCUUACCUUCUCCUCGUUCUCAAAGCAAGGAUUUUACCCCUUGCAAAGAGUGAAGAAUGUAUUAGCUGCAAGGGUAACCUUACAAACCUUCCCUUGGCUGCCACACACGUUGGCAAGCUCUAGGGCGACGCCUAGCCGGCUAGGAGCAAGCUCCAAGAGUAACAAACUCAAGGCUGCCGGCCAAACGUGAACCAAAAGCUCUUUUUGACACUGGGAAUCAAUGGAUCUGCUCUCCAAUCGAAGUUUGCUGCCUUUUCCCUCAAGUUUUGAUGGUUGGAAUCAAGGAUUGGCUUGGGGGCUUGAGGAGCAACAAUGGAGGGAGAGAGAAGUGAGCUCUGGUCGGUUUGCAACGGUUGGGAGCGAGGAAGAUGAGCAGGUUACCGUUUGAGACGGUCUGAAAGGGUAUUUAUACCCAGCUCUCCAACUGUCACAGGGUAGGGCAGCAGUGUCGCCCUUAGAGGGCGGCAGUGCCGCCCUUGCCUGAACCAGCCUGAAAACACCAAAGUGUAGAGAGAAAGAUAUGCUGGCUAGGCAUGGGUCUGAGGAUGUUGAUGAGCUUUUGAGCCUUUGGUUCACAAUUUGAUCAACAACCUUGGAGUCCCUCUUUAUAGUACGGCUUUUCCUAUACUCAAAUUCAAACCGAAAACGAAUUAAACCUCCUUUGGAGCUAGGAAAGCCAUCCUUUAGAAAUGGGGGAUCCUCCAUGGUAUUCAACAACCUCUUUGCUAUAUUCCCUGCUUGUCAUCUCAGCAAAACUCAUUAGUUCCCUAAUUCGGUGGUCAUCAACGCCAAAACCCACAAUAGGCUUGAUUGCACUUACAAUCUCCCCCUUUUUGGUGAUUGAUGACAACCAAAUUAGAGCUUACAAAAGAUAAUAAUCAUAACUGAGAUUUAAAUGGUCAUGGGCAUAGGAGCUCCCCCUAAAUGUAUGAUUGGAGUUUUGAAUACUCAAACUUGACAUGAAAUUCAAGCUUCAUACAUUUAGCAAGUGAUGGAGGACCUCCCCCUAUGUCCAUGACCUCUGUGGGGUGCAACAAACUGUGUCACGAAAUAACCGUGUAUGCAUAUGACAGUUUAUACAAGCAGGACAACAUGCUGCUGUAGUGGAGGGCCUCACUGCCGCCCUGGUAGGGCGCCACUGCCGCCCUUGCUACACCAGCAGGCUGACAGAAAUUUCAAAAAGCAUUACACCACACAAACAGGUUAACCAAUAGAAUUUAAACUAAUAAUUAAGCCUGACAAGCAGUUCACAAGUACAUGUUCACAUCCGAAGCAAAUAGAGACAAGUAAGUAGCAUUAUUACAACUUAACAAAGUUUUUGAAGAAGCACUCAGCUCACAAACUAACAACUAACACUCUCAUCGGAUCUGAACAUGAAGAUCUGCAGCUGCAGUAACGAAGUCCAGUCGAAAAGAAUUGACCCCUCUAAUUUCUUAAAUUUUCUCCCCCUUUGGCAUCAAGUACCAAAAAGAGAGAAGAGAGAAAGAAGAGAGAGCAACUCACUCAUCAUCGUCAUCAUCGUCACUGGAAACCACAGCACGACCAGCCCUAUGAGUAGUAGCUAUGAAGCGAGAGGCACGCGUGGAACGUCGAGGGGCAGCCGCUGAAGUGCUAGCCCGCCGCUGUCUAGCAUCAUCCCUGAACUGCCGAUAGACACUGCCUAGUGUCUCCUGAAGAUCUGGAUCAUCAUCAUAUCCCUGGUGCUCAUCAUAGCUGUCAUGUUCUUCAUCAGACUCCGUGUCAGACAGGUGAGGAAGGUCUGGAAACUGAGGAGGUGGAGCAACGGGUGGAAGAAGAGGUAGACCCUGAACCUCUCUAGCUGCAUUUAUUGCAUGCCUGCUCUCCAUCCUGUCAUCAUACUGAUUUUGUGCCAUGUAAGAACAAGUGCCAAAAAUAGCCUUCACCCAUUCUGCCAACUUCUGAAAGCGCUUCUUCUUCCUUCCAUCUCUCCUCUGUGGCACACUGUGGCCUCCCUCACUAUGGUAUGAGCUCUCUACUGCAGGAGGUGGGGCUGUUUUACCACCUUUAGUUUUCUUGAUGUUAUACACAGUGUGGCUACAAUCCUUAGGAUAUCUGACUCCAGUCACUCUCUCAAUCAUAAACAUCAGAUAAGGAGCAUAAGGAAGUGACCUCCUCCCAUCAUCCAUAGCAUAUGCCAGCUCUACCCAUAUGAACCUUGGGAUAUUAAAUUUAUCUCCUUCUGGAAAUCUGGACAACACAUUAGUAAUAUGGCCAUUGAGAUCAGUGGCAUUCUUUUUUUUGUUGAGUGUCAUUUUGAUUAGAUUGUUCAUCACAUAAUAGAAACUCUUCAACCCAGUCCUCCUGUUGUUCACUUGGGUUGGAUCCUCCCUCAUAAAACUCACCUCUUGUGGCUCAAACCUUCUCUCAUUGUGAAUUCGAGAGUAGGUUCUAUGGUUAUUUCCAAAACCCAAUAUCCUGCAGAAGGUAAUGAAAUCAAUCCUAUAAUGAGUACCAUCUGUCAUCCAAUGAACCUCAUCAUUGUCUCUGUUCCAGAAGUAGGUAGCAUGAAACUGGGCAAGUAUCUCUCUAUUCCAAUCAUAUUUAAAGGACAUGAGAGUGGACAGCUCAAACUUAUCACAUACUUUAAUUGCAGCAUCAAAAUCAGGCUCCUCUUUUGCUUGCAUAGCAUCAAAGUCAAUGAAAUGCAUCUCACAAAUCUUUCCCUUUCUAGCUGGUAGAAUAGCAGUGGCAUAGAAAUUUGAAUGAAAAACAUUACAGAAACGAUAAUCAACACCACUUAUCUUGCUGUGAGCAUAGGGAUCCAUCUCUCUAGCUUCCUCCACAGCUUUCCAGCUUGCUGCAUAGUUGACUAUGGGAUGAUCCACUGUGUCAUUUGGUGCCUUGAGUUCAAACUCAUCAGUGCUGUCCCUCAUGUAGCUGUCAUCAAACUCUAUAAUGUGCAGGGGAGUGUUAGGACAACCUAUGGGAGAGAUGGUGAAACCAGCCUGCUGCAACAUUUCUUCCUGCUGAAUAUACUGCUGCCUUGCUGCUCUAUCAUCUCCAAAGAAAACUCCAGAGCUGCUGCCUCUCCCCCUGCCUCUGCGAACUUGUUGUUUGGUGGUUAUUUUCCUCUUUCCUCGGUCCAUCUAUGCCAAAAAUGAGCCAAAUCAGAAACUGUACAUCUGGCAUAUAGUAGAGCAUAUGUAGAGUCAAUUGAUCAAGUGAGAUGUGUAGAAUAUGGACUGUGGGAACUCUCCCUAACCAAGCUGGUCAGGUGAGGGCGGCACUGCCGCCCUGCAGAGUUUCUGCAGUCCCUACUCUACACUUCAUCUCUUAUUCAACUUACACACAUAUGCACCACUGUCCAUCAUACAAUCUCUAAGACAGUUCAUAAGCAUACUAAGUCUAGAUGAGCAUGAGCUUAAAGAGGAUGAACAAGCAAACUAGGAUAGAUUUAAUUUAUGAACUUUAAUCGAUUCACUUUCCCUUCAAUGUAUUGAAACUGCAGAGAAGCAGUUGCCAAGGCCGGCACUGCCGACCUUAAGCUCCGGCACUGCCGGAGGGCAUCUUUCAAUACGUCGAGAUAAAUCAAAUCCAUUCAAAUCCAUCCACUAAACCUCUUCCUAAUUCAUCAUCCAUCCCCAAUAAACAGAAACUUUUGCCCAAAAAGUAGACAUUGCAUAGAUCGGGAUCGGUUAGGGUUUCACCUUGCUUUGCUUCCUUGGAUUGAGGGGAUGAGAGAAGAAUGUCCCUCCUUGGAUAGGGAGCAGCACACCCCAAUUGCACCACUGGAGAUGACCAAGGAGGCCUCCUCCUUUCUCCUUCUUCCUCUCGGCAAAGAGAUGGCCGAAGGGAAGAGGUUCCCUGGAGCCUUGCGUGAGGGAGAGAGAGACCGAGAGGGAGAGGUGCGGCGCAAUGAGGAAGAGAGAGGAUGAUCACGGGCACGACCAGAGAAGAAAAAGAGAAGUGGGCCCGUGAGAUCCAGUCCAAGGUAACUUAGCCUGAACCGCUUAGGGCGGCACUGCCGCCCUCCUUGACAGCAGAGGGAUUUAAGAGAAAUUAACUUUUCUCUAAAGCUUUAGAUAUGAACAAAUACAACCCAAACACCAUGACUAGACACAAGAAAACAAUCAAACUAUAGUCAUGAUAUUUGAGACAAAUUUUUAAGAGGUUUUGAAAGACAUAAUUAAAUCUUUUCAAGUAUUUUCUCCUAUGCAUACUAGUUAAUCAAACUAGGUGUGUGCUGGAGUUCAAACCACGUUACGAGAAUCCAAAGUUCACUACGCAAAGCACAAAACCUUGUCUCGUCUAGAGGCUUAGUGAAGAUAUCGGCUAGUUGCUUUUCGGUGCUCACAUGGCGAAUUUCGAUAUCUCCUUUGGCUUCGUGGUCUCUCAAGAAGUGAUGUCGGACGUCUAUGUGCUUGGUUCUUGAGUGACUUACGGGGUUGUUUGCAAGUUUUAUGGCACUUUCAUUGUCACACAAAAGUGGGAUUUUGGUGAAUUGACAUCCGAAAUCACGAAGGGUUUGCCUCAUCCAAAGUAAUUGAGCACAGCAUGCACCGGCUGCAAUAUACUCGGCCUCAGCUGUGGAAAGGGCUACACAAUUUUGCUUUUUAGAACUCUAAGACACUAAGGACCGUCCAAGGAAUUGACAUGUCCCCGUAGUGCUUUUUCUAUCUACUUUGCAACCGGCAUAAUCAGAAUCUGAAUAGCCAAGUAGAUUGAACUUGGAGCCCUUUGGAUACCACAAGCCAAGGUUAGGAGUGUGUACUAAAUAUCUCAAGAUUCUCUUAACAGCCACUAAGUGACAUUCUUUCGGAUUAGCUUGAAAUCUAGCACACAUGCACACACUAAGCAUAAUAUCGGGCCUAGAUGCACACAGAUAAAGUAAAGAGCCGAUCAUGGAGCGGUAUACCUUAAUGUCCACGGCCUUCCCUUAAUCAUCAAGAUCAAGAUGUCCAUUGGUUGGCAUGGGAGUAUUGAUAGGCUUCGCUUUCUCCAUGUCAAACUUCUUCAGCAUAUCAAGGGUGUACUUGGUUUAACUUAUGAAAGUCCCUUCCUUCAAUUGCUUGAUUUGAAAUCCGAGGAAAUACUUCAGCUCACCCAUCAUGGACAUCUCAAAUCUCUUUGUCAUGAUCCUACUAAAUUCCUCGCAAAACACUUGAUUAGUACUACCAAAUAUUAUGUCAUCGACAUAUAUUUGGCACACAAAUAUAUCAUUGCCAAUUUUACGAGUGAAAAGAGUAGAAUCAGCUUUGCCUAUUUCAAAGCCUUUCUUGAGCAAGAAAUCCUUAAGGCAUUCAUACCAUGCUCUUGGUGCUUGCUUAAGCCCAUAGAGCGCCUUUUGGAGUUUAUAGACAUGGUUUGGAAACUUGGGAUCUUCAAAACCUAGUGGCUGCUCAACAUACACCAACUCUUGUAUAGGGCCGUUGAGGAAUGCACUCUUGACAUCCAUUUGGAACAGCUUGAAGUCGUGAUGUGCAGCAAAGGCUAAAAGCAUUCGAAUUGCUUCAAGUCUUGCCACUGGAGCAAAGGUCUCUUCAAAGUCCAAGCCCUCUACUUGAGUGUAACCUUGAGCCACCAAUCUUGCCUUGUUCCUUGUCACCACUCCGUUCUCAUCUUGCUUGUUGCGAAAGACCCAUUUGGUGCCAAUCACAUUGGUAUUGGGCCUUUCAACGAGAGUCCACACUUGGUUUCUCUCGAAGUUGUUGAGCUCUUCUUGCAUGGCCAAGACCCAGUCCUCAUCCGCCAACGCCUUCUCUACCUUAUCUGGUUCAAUGGAAGACACAAAAGAGAAAUGUUGACACAAACUUGCUAAAUGUGAACGUGUCAACACUCCCUUUCGAAGACUUCCAAGGAUGUUGUCGGCAGGAUGAUCUCUUUGAAUUGUUUGGCGUAGUCUUGGAUGCUCAACACCGUCUCGUUCUUCAUCUAACUCUUCAUCAGCUUCAAGCUCAAAAACUGGUGCAAGAUCCAGCCCUUGAGGUGUUGAGGAAGUUGCUGCUGCUGAGGGAGGGGCGGCACUGCCGCCCUGUUGCUGAGCAGCAGGUGUGGCUGACACAUUUGCAUCGAGUGCAUCAGCGGAAGACUUGUCAGCAGCAUCUUGGGGAUCCUCCUGAGCAGUGGCUUUUUCUUCUUGUGGCCUUAUGUCACCAAGAGCCAAUUGCUUGAUUGCCUCACAUGGUGGAUCCUCCUUUCCUGCAACACUUUCAUCAAUAUGCUCUACUUGAGAGCCGUUAGACUCAUCAAAUGAGACAUCUAUCGCAACUUCAACUCUACCAGAGGUUUUGUUGUAGAUGCGGUAGGCAUGCUCAUUUGAUCCAUAACCAAGAAGAAUGCCUUCAUCAACUUUAGGUGCAAACUUAGAGGUUUUGGGCCUUUUAUUGGGUAUGAAACACUUGCACCCAAACACUCUAAAGUAUGACACCUUUGGUUUGUUACCGGUUAGCAGCUCAUAUGAAGUCUUCUUGAGUUUCUUGUGUAGGUAGAGGCGGUUGAUUGCAUGGCAAGCGGUGUUGAUUGCUUCGCACCAAAAUAGGUUUGAAGUCUUAUACUCAUUAAGCAUUGUUCUUGCCAUGUCAACAAGUGUUCUAUUCUUCCUCUCUACUACACCAUUUUGCUGCGGGGUGUAUGGAGUUGAAAACUCAUGCUUGAUGCCUUCAUCAUCAAGAAAUUCUUCAACUUGGGUGUUUUUGAACUCGCUGCCAUUAUCACUUCUUAUUUUCUUGAUGGGCAGCCCAAACUCUCUUUGUGCUCUUCUCACAAAGAUCUUUACUUUCUCUUGUACCUGAGAUUUCUCAAAGACAAAGAAUACCCAAGUGAAGCGAGAAUAAUCAUCAACAAUAACUAAUCCAUAUUUGUUACCCCCGAUGCUUAGGUAGGCGACCGGUCUAAAGAGGUCCAUAUGUAUCAACUCCAAUGGUUGAGUGGUCGUCAUGAUACUCUUUGGUGGGUGUGGUACACCUACUUGUUUCCCGGCUUGGCAAGCACCACAUAUCCUGUCUUUCUCAAAUUCAACAUUUGUUAGUCCAAUGAUGUGGUUGUCUUUUUGGAGUUUGGCCAAGUUCCUCAUGCCAACAUGUGCUAGACGGCGAUGCCAUAACCAGCCCACGCUAGAUUUUGCCAUUAAACAGGUCUCAAGCUUGGCCUUACCUUUGUUGAAAUCAACUAGGUAAAGCUUGCCCUUCAAGCGAACCGUAAAGACAAUAGAGGAAUCCUCCCUCUUAAAGACUUCCACACCUUUCUCCGUAAAGAGACAAUUGUAACCAGCCUCACACAAUUGUGAAACUGAUAACAAGUUGUAUCCCAAUGGAUCCACAUGCAAGACAUUUGAAAUGGAAGAGUUUGUUGUGAUAGCAACCUUACCAAGACCGACAACUUCCCCCUUGGAGUUAUCACCAAAUAUGAUAGAUUCUUUUGAAUUUGUAGUUGGGGAAUAUGUUGAGAACAUACUCUUCUCUCCGGUCAUAUGAUUUGUACAGCCGCUGUCAAGCACCCAACUUGACCCACCGGAGGAGUAUGUCUGCAAAACAAGUUUAGUUCCUUGGUUUAGGUCCCCAAUCUUUCUUGGGGCCUUGCAUGUUAGUCACAAAAAUUUUAGGAACCCAAAUGGAAGUGUUAAGAUACACAUUUCUGCCCUUGCCAACAUAUUUGGCAAUCACUUCCCCUUUGCUGUUAUUUUUCAACACAAAGGAAGUAUUCACAAUUGGGCUUUGUGUCUUUGCCUUUGGUUGAUAGAAACUUUUCUUUGGAGUCCCCCUGUUCUGCUUUCUGGGUUGCUGGGACUCCCCCUGAGGCUGGCAUACCUUCUUUUGUGCUUUCACAGGCUCAGGUUUGAGGUUGGUAGCCUUCCCUUGUCUGGGGAGGGCGGCACUGCCACCCUUCAGGUCCUCACUGCCGCCCUUGGCUGGCCAGUGGGCUCAGGACUGCUUUUGUACUCCCUUCUGUGCAGGCUGUUCUGCACCAACCUUACCUUUGCUCGUGAAUUUAACACACUCAAAGCCAUUCACCAGGUCUCUUCCAUUGGUCUUUCCUCCUUUUGUGUGGCCAAGUCCAUCCUUGACUUUGGGAUUUCUCCCAUCCUUGUAGUUUGGCCUAUUUUGCUGAACUUCUUUACCUUGUGGUUUGUUCUCACACUUGGUGUUCAACAGAUGUGUGAGCCUCGUGAUCUCCUUUUUCAUAGCCUCCAUGUUUGCAAGAUUUGUGGAAUACAUGUUUAAGUCAAGAUUAUUGCAUUUUCCACAACUUUCACUAAUGGAGGGAGUACUAGUCUCAUUUGACUUAGAGGACUGUGAGGUACUCUCCCAAACAAGAUUGUAUCGCUGCUCAAGACCUUUAUGCUUUUCAUCUAAGACAUAAUACUUUUGCUUGAGUGCAUCUACUUCCUUCUUUGUGAGAGUGUGGCUUUCUUUUUCUUUCUUUAUACUUUUCUUUAGUGCAGCCACCUCACUCUCCAAUGAGUCAAUUUCUUUAAUUUGAGCCAGAUUUUUCUUAGCUUGCUCCUUGAUGUCAUCAUUUCUUAAAUUAAUUUCAUUAUUGAGAUCUAGUACUUCCUUCAUUAGCCUAGAGAUGUAGACUUUAGUUUUAUGAUCACACUUUUUAGUCAUUUCAUUAAAUUCAUCAUCACUAGAGUCAUCAUCACUAGAGGAGUCACUUAGUUCACUACUAGAGAUUUCUUUGUGGAUUGAAGAAGAUUUGGAUUUGGUUUGUACCUUCCCACCCUUUGCCAUAAGACAAAUGUGGGGGCUGCCAUCUUGCUCAUCAUCGGUCAUGUUGUCGAAGAGCCUUGGUGAAGAUGUUGACUUGAGGACAGCCAUGGUAGCCACCUUCUCAUCUUCACUUGAGGUCUCUUGAGUUGAGUCCCAUUCAUGCCCGAUGUGUGCUUCUCCAACCCUCUUGUAAUUUCUCUUGUUGUCAUGCCUUUGUUCCUUCUUUUUCUUUGCCUCUGGACAUUCUGCAACAAGAUGCUCGGUGCUGCCACAGUUAAAGCACAAUCUCUUCUUCUUGUUUUGGAACUUCCUUGGAGUGAACUUGAAUCCAUGUUGCUUCAGCCCCCGUCUAUGCUUGCUUAUGAAGAGGGUAAUAUCAUCUAUCUUCUCAUAAUCACCAUCACUACCAUCACUAUCACUAGAGGAUGAAGAUGGAUCACAUUCUUGAACUUGCUUUGCUUUCUUGGGCUGACUUGUUGAUGCUUGCUUGCUGCUCUUGGAUUUGCUGCAGCCACCUUGCUUGUUUGAUUGCUUUGCCUUGAGUGCUAUAUCAUUGACCUUCAUGCCUUCUAACUUGGCUUGCAGCUCGCCAAGCUUUCUUCUCUCAUUAGCCUCUUCUCUUUGCAUGUCAAAUGUCAACAAUCUUCCAAGCACAUCACUUGGGGUGAAGUGCUCGAAAUUCUUCUUGUCUCUAAUGAGAGUGACCACGGUCUCAUUCCUUGGUGAGUAUGCUUCCAACAUUACUUUCACAACUUUAUGGUCAUCAAGGUCACCACCAUAGCCUCUAAUUUUUCCAACUAGCACCAUCAACCUAUCAAACAUUUCUUGUGGCCCUUCAUCACCAACAAUCACAAACCUAUUGAGCUUGGCCAUCAUCAAAUCAAUUUUGGCCUUCCUCACUUUGUCAACACCUUCAUGAGCUAAAACCAAAGUAUCCCAAAUCUGCUUGGCCACAUUCACAUUCAUCACUCGGUUGUACUCAUUUCCAUUGAGAGCACUAAGAAGAAUGCUUGUGGCUUGAUUAUUGAAGUGGACAGCAAUCAUUUCUUCAUUUGUUGGAUUCUCUGGAUCUGCAGGUUCCUGAAAUCCAUCACAAACAACAUCCCAAAGACCGGGGUGAAGAGCUCCAAGAUAGCGACUCAUCAAAUGCUUCCACUUAGCAAAGUCGGUCCCAUCGAAAUGAGGCAACUUGCCAGCGGGCACAUUGACAAGACACUUCUUGUCUCGGUUAGACAAAUAAGAAUAGUUAAAGGAUACAGCGGAAUAUUUCUUUUUGUUGCUGUUGUCCUCCUUUGUUGAUUUGCCCUUCUUGUCCUUCUUGGAGCGGUUAUAUGAUUCAUCAUCAUCACCAUCAUCCGUACUAGACGAUAGCUCACUUGAUGAUACAUCAUACACCUCCUUUUCUUUCUUCUUCUCUUCUUCUUUCUUUGUUGCCCUUCUUUUGGCUCGCUCUUCUCUUUUGGCUUUUCUUUCUUCUUUUCUCUUCUUUUUGGCAGCUAGCUUCUCAUCUUCUUUUCUUUUUGCUUUAGCUUCUCUUCUUGCUUGCCUCCUUUGCCUUCUCUCGGGGUCGGUAGUCAUACCACCAUCAGGCUUGAGGGUGGAGUUGCUGGCUGUUGAGACUGAUAGCUCACUGCUAUCACUCUCAACCAGCACAUCCUCAGCUUGUGCGGCUAGAAUAGACUUAUCCUUCGCCCCCGAGCUUCCCGCAACUUCCAUACUUCACGCGGUGAAGCGUAUACGAAGCAACUAAGCUCUGAUACCACUUGUAGGAUCUCUGGAAGUACAGGAAGUGGCCUAGAGGGGGGGUGAAUAGGCCUAUUCAAACUUUUUCAGCAAAGUUGAUCAGUCACACAGGCAAGGGCGGCAGUGAGGCCCUCCCAGGGCGGCACUGCCGGCCUCAACAGAAAAACAAACAGAAGCUUAAUUGAAUUGAUUCAAAGUUUACCCAGGGAAAUUUAGAUCGACUAAAUUUCCAAGCUUCCUACAAGAUGUUAGAGCACGAGUAUGUAGCUAGAAUGUGCUGGAGCCUCCCCACCAAGUAGAUCGGCCUCAAAUCCUAACACAAACUCAUACACAAGUGAAAGCACACAAGACACAAGAUUUUUACCGUGGUUCAGCUGUUGCCACAACAAGGCUUGGCCUACUCCACGUUGUUGAGGCACCCACACUAGGACCGGCUUAGCCACACAGGCUUACCUUCUCCUCGUUCUCAAAGCAAGGAUUUUACCCCUUGCAAAGAGUGAAGAAUGUAUUAGCUGCAAGGGUAACCUUACAAACCUUCCCUUGGCUGCCACACACGUUGGCAAGCUCUAGGGCGACGCCUAGCCGGCUAGGAGCAAGCUCCAAGAGUAACAAACUCAAGGCUGCCGGCCAAACGUGAACCAAAAGCUCUUUUUGACACUGGGAAUCAAUGGAUCUGCUCUCCAAUCGAAGUUUGCUUCCUUUUCCCUCAAGUUUUGAUGGUUGGAAUCAAGGAUUGGCUUGGGGGCUUGAGGAGCAACAAUGGAGGGAGAGAGACGUGAGCUCUGGUCGGUUUGCAACGGUUGGGAGCGAGGAAGAUGAGCAGGUUACCGUUUGAGACGGUCUGAAUGGGUAUUUAUACCCAGCUCUCCAACUGUCACAGGGUAGGGCGGCAGUGUCGCCCUUAGAGGGCGGCAGUGCCGCCCUUGCCUGAACCAGCCUAAAAACACCAAAGUGUAGAGAGAAAGAUAUGCUGGCUAGGCUUGGGUCUGAGGAUGUUGAUGAGCUUUUGAGCCUUUGGUUCACAAUUUGAUCAACAACCUUGGAGUCCCUCUUUAUAGUACGGCUUUUCCUAUACUCAAAUUCAAACCGAAAACGAAUUAAACCUCCUUUGGAGCUAGGAAAGCCAUCCUUUAGAAAUGGGGGAUCCUCCAUGGUAUUCAACAACCUCUUUGCUAUAUUCCUUGCUUAUCAUCUCAGCAAAACUCAUUAGUUCCCUAAUUCGGUGGUCAUCAACGCCAAAACCCACAAUAGGCUUGAUUGCACUUACAGCAAGCACAAGCGAGUUAGAGGCUUUUCUAGCACUCCCCAAGCAUGGACACUAAGUCCCAAGAGUGCUCAGCACAAGCCAAGGCCGGCCACCACUUCUAUUUAUAGCCUCAAGGGCUAAACUAGCCGUUGCCCCUUCACUGGGCAAAAGUCGUGGGCACCGGACGCUCACAGGGAGCCACCGGACGCUCAACUUUCAGCGUCCGGUGCUCAGGCGUCAGCCACGUGUCACUAGCCGUUUGAACUCGACCGUUGCCGCUAACGGCUACCACGCGCUCGCGCCUGACAAAGCACCACCGGACGCUCAACUAGUCCACACCGGACGCGUCCAGUGCACACCGGAUCCGUGCGCAGAGAGCUCCGCAAACUCGCAGGGUCACCAGACACAAGCCACCGAACGCACCCUGAGCGUCCGGUGCUCUUCAGUCAGAAACACCUCGCAUGCACUCGCUGACGUCACGCACCACCGGACGCUCGAACAGUAACCGCCCAGCGUCCGGUGCGCUCUGCACACCUGAGCCACAAACUGACACUACACCGGACGCUCUGGACCAGCGUCCGGUGCUGCCAACACCAGCGUCCGGUGAGUGUUCACUCCUGCGACUUCUCCAAACUUCCCACCGACGCAAUAGAAAAUAUGCACUUAAUUUUCUCAAAAGCGCCGAGGAACCCACACCCCUCUCAACCCUAGGAACUCCACAUCCUUUGCAAAUGUGCCAACACCACCAAGUGUACACCACCAUGUGCAUGUGUGUUAGCAUUUCUCAAACAAUUUCCCAAAGGAGUUAGCCUCUCAACUUGCCACGCCACUCGAUCCUAACACGUAUGCAAAGAUAGAUCGCUCAAGUGGCACUAGAUGACCGAUAUGAAAACAAGUUUACCCCUCUUGAUAGUACCGCCAUCUAUCCUAAAUCCGAUCAUAAACUUCUCUACACACCUAUGACCGGUGAAAUGGAAAUGCCCUAGGUUAUACCUUUGCCUUGCGCAUUCCAUUCCAUCUCCUCCGAUGUUGAUGCAACACAUGCACCAACCAAUCACCAAAUGAUAUAAUCCACUUCAUAUCAUCACGUGACCGUAUUGGUUCAUCGAUCUUGACCUCACUUGCUCUUCACCGUUGCCUCGGUCCAUCGGCGCCAAGUCUUGCUCAAGCUUCACCGUCACACGCGGUCCCUCGCUUCAAAGCCUCCGACUUGCCCUUCACUCUUGCAACCGGUCCAUCGAGCCAAGCCUCAUCUUGAUCUUCUCCACCUUGGUCACAUGACUCCAUGUCAUAUCUCAUAUGCAAUGAGCUCCUCCAUCAUCACAUCAUCACCUGUGGACUAAUCUCCUGUGUAUCUCACAUAAACACUAUUAGUCCACCUAAGUUGUCACUCAAUUACCAAAACCAAACAAGAAUCUUUCACCCGUUCCGUGGCUGCUAAGGUCUGACUCUGCCUCCGUCGAGUGUGUUCAGAACAGGUGGUCCAGAAAAAACAAAAUAGAAAUUUUUCUAAGGUUCCUAAUACAAAAUCCCCUAUACACAUCAAAUAUGUUGAGAAUAAGGAAACUUUAAGGACCUAAGUGCAAAGUGUUUUAUCUAUUAGUUUACUUUUCUUUUAUUCUUUAAAUCGGUUAAAAUUUGAUAAAUGCGUAGUAAUUCAUAGAAAAAUCUAAAAAUUAUAAAACAAAUUUUGUUCAGCUCCACAUAUGUAGCUCCAUGCAGUAAACAAAAAUUAUCAUAAAUUUUAAUACAUUCCUUUUGCUGGAGAUGCUUGCCUAUGCUUUUUAAUGUAAAAUUGAUCGAUUAAAAAUUGAUAAAUGCGUAGUAAUUGAAAAAUCUAAAAAUUAUAAAACAAAUUUUGUUCAGCUCCACAUAUGUAGAUCCAUGUAGUAAAUAAAAAAUAUCAUAAAUUUUAAUACAUUUUUUGCUAGAGAUGCUUGCCUAUGUUUUUAGUGUAAAAUUGAUCGAUUGAAAAUUGAUAAAUGCGUAGUAAUUCAUAGAAAAAUCUAAAAAUUACAAAACAAAUUUUGUUCAGUUCCACAUAUGUAGAUCCAUACAAUAAACAAAAAAAUAAUUAUCUGCUCCAAUUAUUAUGAAAAUUUUAUGAUAGCUUAUUUAAUGUGGUGCUUAAUUUGUUGUAAAAGUUUUAGCACCAUUCCUGCAUAUUUCACUAAUUUACUAAUUUACCUAAAUUUAUGCUUGAGGAUGCUUCCACUAUCUUUACACGAUGUGUUGUUAUGUCAUAUGAACACUUCAUAAGCCUAUGUAUUCAUAAUCUACAUACAUUUAACUGAUAUAUCAUAUUUUAUAGAAAUUCUAAUCUAGAUAAGAAAAUAAAGCUGGCAAUAAACUUCUCAUGUUUUAAUAUAAUACUAAGGUAUAUUAAGAAGUAAUAUUAGAGUAAGAUAAAGUUUAACUAAUUUCUAUUAUUAUUAUUAAAUAAAUAUGUCUCGGAGCUAUAUAUUAUUAUAAAUAUUAACUAUCUAGUACCAUAGAUGUCAUGGUUAUCAAUAAAAUAAAUUAUAGAUUUUAAAUUUUAUAAAAAAGAUAAAUAUAUAUAGAUACGUAACAUAUAUUUGAUGUUUUUCUUCCGUUGCAACGCACGGGCAUAUUUGCUAGUAAUAUAAAUGAAUAAAAUGUGAAGAAUAUGUGUGGAAACAAAUUAACAUGAAAACUCCCAUAUCAAUUGAAAAAAUAUAUCAUUAAUCAUCGUAUCAUUUUCUAUCAUGGUCCAAUUUUACCAUCUUAAACAAAUUUUAGUAUCAUUGGAACCACCAACAUUACCACUUGAACCAUCCCUAACAACAAUGAUAGAUGCUUACAAUAGCGUCUGUUAAGCUUUAGAAUGUUAUCUUUGCUCUACUACUUUUAUAGUGGUACCAGUAGAGGACAACUAUCUCCAUUGCGGCCCUACCAAUACUAUUCAGUACUGUAGGUGGUGUGAGUGUGAUGGCCGCUAGAUGCAGGAUAGGGCCCAAGACUCCAUUUAGAUUCACAUGCUAACUAUUAGCUAUGUUAAUUAGAAAAAAUCAGUUAAUUUUUAGCUGGUGGGUGAUAAAGUAAGACAUUGUAGCUUGCUUAUUAGUCAAACUUCUAAAUAAAUCCAUAACUUUUAGUUUGGACUAGGAUUUUAAGGACCAAGCAGGACAUCGAUUUUGCAGCGCCUUUAGGCUGGAUGGACGUGCCUAGAUGGCAGCCCUUAGACCAGGCUCUGGUCCAAACAUCCCUUUAUUGCACGGUCAUUCAUUGCUAAGUAGCGAAUGGUGUUCAUCAACCAUGGGAAGAAACUAAUCAAGAGGAUAAACUAAUGAGAGAUAUUUAUGGAAAUUGAUACUAGCAAAGAGAUAAACUAAGAAUCUGACAUGCAACUAAAGAAGAGAUAUUUAGGACGUGUUUAGUUAGGCCAGUUUUAAUGGAGUUUUAUAGAAGGUUUCAUACACAUUAAAUAGGGUGCCACAUCAGCUUUUUUACGAAACUGGAAGGGGAGAGAAAAGAAAAGUUUCAUAGCCACGAAACAAAUAAGCACGGUUUCCAAGUCGUGGGAAAUCGUACGACACCCGCACUGAGGCGCUUGAUGCGUUUCAUCGAUCCCGUGCUCCAAUUGUACCUCACCACCAGCACGAGGGUAGCUGCGGUCACAAACUCCGCUGGGCGCGGCUCUGCCCGCCGUGGACACGAGCUCUGCUGGCCUCGAUCGUGAUGGCAGCCGUAGACGGGCUUCGCAAGCUACGGUCGCGAGGGUAGCCGCAGUCUCGUUUUCCGCCGGGUACGGCUCCGCUGGCCGCUGGCGCGAAGGCAGCCAUGGACGCGAGCUCCGCCGUGCGCGGGCUCCGCUGGCCACGGGCACGAGGGCAGCCCAUGGUCGCGACCUCCACCGGGUGCAGCUCUGCAUCGGCCAGAUCAAGCGGAGCAACUCCAAGCGCUAGAAGAAGGGAGCUUUUGGCCAUGAGCCAGGCCGUCAUGGAGGACAAGUCGCAGACUCACAGUACCAGGAGCCUUGGCGUUCUACAUGUUUUUGCUUUGUGUAUCUGCUCGUUCGAGCAACAGAAAUUAGUGUUGGUAGCUCUUGACUUCAUCGGUAGACCUUAGUUGCUGCUCAAUGUUGGUACUAGCUAGCCAUCUAUUGGUGAAUGUUGCUGAAUUUUGCAUCAGCGUAAAGUGAGAAAACAGCCACAUAUUUUGCAUACCACAUUAGAUCACAGUAUAAUACACGAAUUAAAUGAUAAUGCUACUCUAUGAAACUGUGAGAUGAAACUGUGCACCGAGAAGCUCUGGUUCAUUCCUAGUGUCAUAUCUUGGAAACUGGAAGGUGAAACUUGCCAUUGAGACUGGCGUGAGAGGUGUUAAAGUUUAACAAAUACCGUAGUAUUUUUUGUUUUAUUUAGCAAUUAGUGUCUAAUCAUAGACUAAUUAGGCUUAAAAGAUUCAUCUCGCAAAUUACAUGUAAACUGUAUAAUUAAUUAUUUUUAUCUAUAUUUAAUACUUCUUGUACGUAUAUAUCUAAACAUUCGAUAUAAUAAGAGUUAAAGUUUACCGAUGCAAAUCAAACGGGACCUCAGGAGCAAAAGGAAAAUUCAGUGAACAAGAAAUAAGGCCUUGUUUAGAUGUGAAAAAAUUUUGGAUUUCGCUACUGUAGCACUUCCGUUUGUUUGGGGUAAAUAUUGUCCAAUCAUAGACUAACUAGGGUGAAAAGAUUUGUCUCGCGAUUUACAGACAAACUGUGUAAUUAGUUUUUAUUUUUAUAUAUAUUUAAUGCUUCAUACAUGUGCCGCAAGAUUCGAUAUGAUAAGGCUUAAAAACUUUUUGGAUUUCAGAGUGAACUAAACAAGCCUAAACACGCUCCUACGUUGGGCUGGCUUUCAUAUUAUUGUUAUUAUGAUCUUUCGAAAAUAUUAUUAUUAUUAUUGGACUGAUGAUUGGAGGCCCGGCUGGGAAUGAGAGUCGCGAAUUCACCAGAAAUUGGUCUGGCUUUUUUAUUGGGCUGAUGAUUAGAGAGGGACGGGGGAUGAGAGAGUCGCGAAUUCACCCGUGCGUCUCUGUCUCUCUGGAUUGGAUGCUUCUGGUCUCGCGGAGAUAGGCGACUCAAGUCAAGGCUCGCACAAUUGCACAAGACGACGCCAAGACGGCACGGCACUUUUUGCCCAACCCGGCGACGGGCAACCUUCCGCACUGCUCAACUGCUGGCCGGCCGAGAUAAAAGGAUUCCAAACAGUCAUUAUUGCCCCCAGCCGAAGGAACAAGAGCAAAACCAUCCCCCAAACUAGCUGUAACCCCCCGUCGCUUCCUUCACGUAAUCCCCCGCCGCCCCCGCCCCGUCUUCCUUCUCCACCUCCCCCCUCGCUAAGCAAAAGCAACCUGCAACUCCAGCUCCCCCCUCCUCUUCUUCUUUUCAUUCAUCAUCCUCCCUACUCCGAUCCCCUCCCCCGCACGCGAAAUCCCCUUGCAGCUCUUCUUCGUCCCCGAUCCCCAGCCCCCCCGGAGCACCAAGCCCGCCACCACCGGAAGGAGAUGUCGUACGCCUACCUCUUCAAGUACAUCAUCAUCGGCGACACAGGUCCGUCCCGUCGGCCCCCUCCCUCCCUCCCUCCCUCUGUUCCACGAUUGGAUCCGCGCACCUGCUGCCGCCGCGGCGGCGAGGAGACGGAGAUCCAAUCCGCUUCCGACGAUGAUGAUGCUGACGGCCUUCCCCUGCUGACCCUGCUUGGCGGCUUUGCUUUGCUUUGCUGCAGGCGUCGGCAAGUCGUGCCUGCUGCUGCAGUUCACCGACAAGCGGUUCCAGCCCGUCCACGACCUCACCAUCGGCGUCGAGUUCGGGGCCCGGAUGAUCACCAUCGACAACAAGCCCAUCAAGCUCCAGAUUUGGGACACGGUCGGUGCCCCUCUUCCUCCGCUACUUACCUUCGUCUUCUUACGCAUACUUACUAGUACUUCAGGUCCCCGUAGGAUAGGAUCUACCACUACCAAUCAAGGAAACAUAAUUGCUUCCUCUUCAGUUGCUGAAGGAAACAUAAUUGCUUCCUCAGUUACUUAAGGAAACAUAAUUGCUUCCUCAGUUGCUUCUAGGACUCAGCUACUCAAUUUCGGUUGCAAACUGGAAUUUAGGAUGUUCAAGGUGUGGCAUAAAGUUGUUUUUGGCCUUUUGGGGGAAAACAUUGUAUCUUGCUGAGCUCUGAAGCUACAAUACUCUGGAUAUUCUCUUUGUUCUUUAUCAGUGUGCCCUCUGAAAUUAUCGGAUUAUUAGCGCCUUGGCCCUUGAACUAUGGGACUGUUUGUUGAUUUUAGUUACCUUUGGUGCCACUCUAUAAUUAAUGUUAAUAACAUGGAAUACCCACGUGGCCACAUGCAUCAUUCAUCUGACAUGAUUGCACUGUCUUUAACAUUUUCCAGGCUGGGCAAGAGUCAUUCAGAUCCAUAACUAGGUCAUACUACAGAGGCGCUGCUGGUGCUCUUUUGGUCUACGAUAUCACUAGGUGAUUUACCCCCCAUAAAUUCUAAGUUGCCUGAGUGGCCUUUCUCAUGCAAGCGCUUUCCUGAAUCAUGCUGAUACUGGCAUUCAAAUCCAUGUUGAACUCAUUUCAGGAGGGAGACUUUCAACCACCUUGCAAGCUGGCUGGAGGAUGCGAGGCAGCAUGCGAAUGCUAACAUGACGAUAAUGCUUGUCGGGAACAAGUGUGAUCUGUCUCACAGGCGUGCAGUGAGCUAUGAGGAAGGCGAGCAGUUUGCAAAGGAACAUGGACUUAUCUUCAUGGAGGCAUCUGCAAAGACCGCGCAGAAUGUCGAGGAGGUGAUGCUUGAUUCUUGGUGUAUCUAUGUGCAGUUAAAAUAUUUUUUUCAAUUUGCUCAUGAAGUAUCAACUUUUAAAUGCAGGCAUUUGUUAAGACCGCUGGAGCAAUCUACAAGAAAAUUCAAGAUGGUGUUUUUGAUGUAUCUAAUGAGGUACCUUUUAAUCCCAAACCAUCACUGUUGCUCUGCUUAAGGAAAAUGUAUUGAGCCCCUUUGAUGUUACUCUAAGUACCAUUUAAAGAACUUAUGUAGAUUCUUAACCCAUGUAAUACAGCCCAAAACCUUCACUGAGAUGAGUGCCAGAUACUUAUAUACCUUUAUGUUCUAUUUAGGAGUACUAUAUAUGGGUUGCCUUACGAAGUGCAUAAGUUACCUAUCUCAUAGAAAGUUUUCCCCCUUCUCCUUACAACCUUCAUACACUGAUAGGUUGAAAUGAGGAUAGCCAAACCUGGAAACUGGAAAGGACAAUAUCGACAGGCAGAGUGCCUGUUUGUCCUUGUGAUCUAUUGAAACUUGCUGUUAACUAAGCCCUUGUACUCUUAAUUUCAAUCGCAGAGAAGUAGUUUUUUCUGAAAUGGCAUAAGUGGAUAAGCUUUUUAAUAUAAUUUUGCUGGGGAGGCGUUCUCGAUGCUGAAAGAGAUAGAUUUUCACUUAGUGUCCAAGGAUUAGCAGAGAGCAUUUAUAUGGAAACACAAUUCUCUGAUAUUGAAAAUGCCAUUUGCCCACAGGAACCUUGUCCUGCUCUCCAUAACAUUUUGCUUGCUUACAAUACGCAUCUUGUUACUGCCACAUGAGUAUGAUCUCAUACAUCUUUUGUCAAAUUCGCAGUCUUAUGGAAUCAAAGUUGGAUAUGUAGUCCCUGGCCAAUCUGGAGGUGCUGGUAGCUCGUCUUCUCAAGGUGGUAGCUGCUGCAGCUAAUCUGUUAACGCCCUUAUGUACAAAGGCAUAUCCGUCGUGUGUCACAUACCAGCUGCUUUAAAUUCCUGUUUCUGAACGUAAAAUGGUUACUGCUCCAGGGUGCUUUGUUAUUUGACGCACCAAUGGAUUCUGUGCCUGAACGAUUUAAGAGAUUCAGUUUAUUUAUGUCAGGUGUUUAUAAACUCUCUGUAAAAAAUCACUAGAUUCUUUACUGUUUUCCGUCAUUUAGCAUUCACGAAUUCUGUCCGUCUGCAUGUGUAAAUGUAAAUAACAUACCUCGAUGCAUUGUUUGGUGUGAAAAUUAAUUUGUCUUAUUCGACUAUACUGUAUGUUGGUACUCCAUGUUUCAGAAAAUAUACGCGUCUCCGAUACUAUGCAUGAGCUUAUCAAACUAUGAUCGGGACAAAUACUGAACAGUGAAAUACUCUGCUUCCAGAGGGACAGAGCUUCCGUUUAGGAUUGUCUAUGACCCGUCCAAUUACUGGAUAGUCAAAUACCGUCUGUUUCAAUUAUAAGUCGUUUUUACUUUUUCUUUUUUUUUGACACGUCUACUUUAAAGUAUAAUAAGUUGCUUCAACUUUUUAUGCUAUAUAUAUCUGCUGCAUCAUGUAUCUAGAUAUAAUAUAAUAAAAUUAAUGUACCAAAAAAUCAAAAUGUCUUAUAAUUUGAUUGAAACUGAGGGAGUGCUCUCCUUUAAGGAGAGAACUUCCGUUUAGGAUUUUGGUAGCUUUUCUGCGUAAUAGGUUAGGGGGUGUUUAGUAAAAAAUAAUGCAAAAUGCAAAAUACCAACUAUUGGAAUGAUGGAAUAUAAAAUGCUAAAAUUUCUAGGAUCAUGUUUAGUUCCAUCUAAAAUGCAGAAUUUAUUGCCCUAGGGCCUUUUGAGACUCUUUUGGGCUUUUUCUUGGCCUCUUGAGCCCAAAAUCUAAAAUGAAAAUAACUACCUUUUGCUAAAAUUUUUUUGCAUUAUAUUUAGUUUAAUUUUGCAAAAUAAUGAACUCAAACCCAAAUUUUUUUGAAUACAAGGGGACUAAACACCCCCCUAAUAUAUAUAGUUUUGCCUGUAAGUGUGCUUCGAUGAUUGCAUCUUGCUGGCUUUGUAGUUAAAAUCACAAGGGUCGUCCAGCCGAGAGAAAGAAAAGAAGCAAAAGAAAGAAAACAAAAGAAAUAAGAAGUGAAAAAAACGAAGGCAUCUAGCCGAGAAAAAGAAAGAAGGGGAAAAAAAUAAAUAGUAAAAAGUAGAGAGAGAGAGAGAAAAAAGAAAGAAAGGGAAACAAGGUUUGCAGGUAUUGCAUCGGCCUUACUCUAGUUUAAAAUCACAAAGGCUCCCCCCCUCCACACACACACACACACAGAGAGAGAGAGAGAGAGAGAGGUAAAUAAAAGAAAAGAAAGAAAAUAGGUUGGCAGGUAUUUGAGGUAGGGCUUGUAGUAAAAGUUUUAUCGUCAGACGAAGAAGCGCCAACAAAUCAGUUGGCGAAUACUACUACAGCAGUUCAUAUAGUUUUGCCAAGAUACAUCCAAUGCCUUUUUGAAACUAAGGUACAUCCAGUUAAGCAGACAAACAACGAUGAAGAGUUGAUGCCAAAACCAUCAUGGAAUCGGUUGCCAAACGAACAAGGCGAUGGCUGAAAUUACUGUUGACUAAUUUAUUUUGAGAUAAAAACACUGCUGUCUAAAAAAGUCUACUACACUUACAUACACUAUACACCAAGCAACAGAAACUUACAAGUAAUUUACUGCUACUCUGCUGCCUCCACGGAGGAGGUUGCACGCCUGCAGCGGCGGCCAGCGCAGACCAAGAUCCCCAGGUGGCUCAGUCAGUUAAUUAGUCAGUUGGUACCUGGCUGUUGUGUUGCAGUCGAAGCAGGUGUGGUUGCGGCCGAGGUCCUUGAUCCUGUCGUAGCCGUGCCUGAAGAUGCCGAGGCCGAAGAGGACGCCGACGAGGAGGCAGAUCACCAGGAUCACCAGCAGGUAGCACCCCACAUGCUCCUUGCUGAACUUGAGCUUGCACAUGGCGUCUCUCUGGACUGACUACCUGACUGUUAUGUUAGGGAGAUGAUCCCAGUCGCGAGGGUAACCGGUUCUUAUUCGCUAGGCAAGUGUCGCUAUACGCCCCCUGUCCGUUCAAUUCGGCGGUAUGGCGACGGUAUCGCUUACAGGUGAAGCUACAGGCUACAGCGAGGGGGCAGAGCUGUGAG
rnacentral:lncRNA from 1 species